GAACGCUAGCGGCAGGCUUAAUACAUGCAAGUCGUGGGGCAGCAUGAGUAGCAAUACUUGAUGGCGACCGGCAAACGGGUGAGGAACACGUACACAACCUUCCUUCAAGCGGGGAAUAGCCCAGAGAAAUUUGGAUUAAUACCCAUAAUAUAUUUGAUAAGGCAUCUUAUUAAUAUUAAAGCUUCGGCACUUGAUGAUGGGUGUGCGGCUGAUUAGAUAGUUGGCGGGGUAACGGCCCACCAAGUCUACGAUCAGUAGCUGAUGUGAGAGCAUGAUCAGCCACACGGGCACUGAGACACGGGCCCGACUCCUACGGGAGGCAGCAGUAAGGAAUAUUGGACAAUGGACGAAAGUCUGAUCCAGCCAUGCCGCGUGAAGGAUUAAGGUCCUCUGGAUUGUAAACUUCUUUUAUAUGGGACGAAAAAAGGGCAUUCUUGUUCACUUGACGGUACCAUAUGAAUAAGCACCGGCUAACUCCGUG
rnacentral:rRNA from 1 species